rnacentral:ribozyme from 15 species
GCCGCACAAAAUCAAAGCCUCCACGUGGCGUGCGGCGGACAACGGAUGAUUGAUCCGGCUAAGAUUGAUUGA